CACAUAUUCUUGUGUCACUAAAUCUUUUAUCCAAAUAUAUAUAUAUAUAUUUGGACAAAAGAUUUAGUGACACAAGAAUAUGUG